rnacentral:rRNA from 1 species
UACGUAGGGACCAAGCGUUGUUCGGAUUUACGUGGGCGUAAAGGGCGCGUAGGCGGCGUGGUAAGUCACUUGUGAAAUCUCUGAGCUUAACUCAGAACGGACCAAGUGAUACUGCUAUGCUCGAGUGUGGAAGGGCAAUCGGAAUUCUUGGUGUAGCGGUGAAAUGCGUAGAUAUCAAGAGGAACACCUGAGGUGAAGACGGGUUGCUGGGCCGAACACUGACGGCUGAGGCGACGGAAAGCCAGGGGAGCAAACGGG